rnacentral:ncRNA from 1 species
UCCAAGGGGGUGCCCAACUAGGCCGAGCGGCCAAUGGCUGAGAACAUACCCCUCGAACCUGAUCCGGAUAAUACCGGCGGAGGAAAAAUU